CAUCAAUUUACGUUUACAAAAGAGUUUUUAAAAUACAAUCUCAUCUACUAACUACUACAAAACUACUGGAAAGAAACCUGACGGAUGAAGAAUCUGAAUGUAAGCAUGAGAACAAAGAAGUUCACUUCAAUUUUCUCAAGUUCCUGCUGUAACAGAUGGUCAGCAUAGAAUGCUCAGCGAAAAACCACAGUAGUUGCCAGAGAAGUCAUGUGAUGUAAUGGGAAGAGAAUCUCAAAUGUCAUCAGUCGACGUGAGUCUUCUUAUCUGUGUGACCAUGGGGAAGUUACUUAUGCUUCCUCAUGACCAGUAUCCUCACUGGCAAAGCAAGGCUAAGGACACCAGCAUUCCUGAGUUGUGAGUCACAAGGGAGAGAUGAUCAUUGGACAUUUUGUAAAUUUUUCAUUUUGUUUAUCAUAUUAUUGUUUUUAUAGGCGAGAUAUUGCUGUGUUGGCCGGGCUGGAGUGCAGUGGGGCAAUUUUAGCUCACUGCAGCAUCCAACUUCUGGUUCAAGCAAUCCUCUCACUUCAGCCUUCCAAGUAGUUAGGACUACAGGCAUAUGCUGCUGUGCUCAGCUAACUUUUUCAUUUUUUGUAGAGACAGGAUCUCACUUUGGAAGGCAGCUAUGCUCACCACUACACUGCCAACACCAGGAUCUCACUUUGUUGCCCAAGCUGGUCUUGAACUCCCGGACUCAAGCAACCCUCUUGCCUCAGCCUCCUAAAGUGCUGAGAUUACAGGCGUGAACCACACCAUGCCUGGCCCAUUUUGUCAAUUAAGUGUUUUGGAAAUGCUACUUGUUCAUUAUAAUCAAUCAGUAAAGGAUAAUUAUUGUAGAAAUUAGUAUUUACUAAGAGUUGAAAAAGCAUUCAGCUCUUUUUUUUUUGGCAGAGCUAGCUGAGGUUUUAUUUUGGACCAAAAAAAAAAAAAAAAAAAAAACAGUUGAAUUGUUUUGUAGCUGGAGGCAUGGGCAAGGGGGGGUCCCCAAGCAGUAAACUUCCCCGCACGUGGGCUGAGGGCUAGGACUGAGCCUCAGGUCAUCCCCGUGCUUCCCAGCCAGCAUCUGCAGCUCCUCAUAU
rnacentral:lncRNA from 1 species